AGUGAUUACCAAAGACUGGGGAGAGGGAGGCGGAUGGAAGAAUGGAGAAAGAUUGGUCAACAGACUCUGACUGUGAUUUUUCUCACUAGUGACAAAAGGAAUAACCUCUAGUGAGAAUGAAAUGAUGAAGGGUCUUUGAAAUUCUCUACUCUCUGAACACAGUGAAUGUGAAUGAAAGAUCUCAGGAAGAGUUUUCAAAAAGCUUAUUGCUCAAUCACCAGCCUUUGCGAGGAGUUGUGGAUUGACUGCUGUCUGCAAUAAGGUCACCAGAAACUGCCAUAGCUCUCGAGGCAAGCACAUGCUGAUAAUGACAAGCUGCUGAGACUCAAAGCUAUGUUUUAGCCCCAAUCCCAGCACAGACUCACCAUGAAGCUCUUUGAUUUCCAGACGGAACUUUCAUGAGGACACACCACACUUAACUAAACCCUUGACCUAACAGACCUAUACUGAAGAUGAAACCCCAAAGGUAGCCAAGGGAUUUGGUAUUUUAGUCAUGUUCUUUCAUGCCUUAGUACCUUUAAGGUAAGCUCACACAGAGGUGGUCAUGAAAUGGUUAAAUAGCAAAAUCCCUGACUUCUGUAGUCAGUGAGAAACAUCCAAGAGAGAGUGUGAUAGGGUCAAAAGCCUCUUUGCAAAAAGGAAAACAUUUCAAGUCACAGAUUCAUUCUUUUAUUUCUACUCAUUCAUUCAUUUUCUUCAAUAAACAUUUAGGAAGCUCCUACUGUUUGCCAAUAACUCAAAAGAUCUCUGGAGAAAGAGAUGAAUUCAAUGUGGCCUUUUGACUAGGGACAAUUGCCCACCACGCUUCUGAUAACAGACAAGCCCUUCCUCAGCACCACAGGGUUAGCCAACCACAGUAUUCCAUCCCCCUGGCCUCAGUCAGAACCUUUCCUCCAGAAAUUUUCCUCUGGAACUAUCAGGAAGGACUUCCAGUUACCCCUGGGGAUGCCAUUUUGGAAACCUAGUACUAUCAUGGCCAAAUUAUCUAUCUUGGAGGAACAGCACCUACAGGAGUGAAGCCACCACACAGAUGGAAACAAAGGAGGAAGGAAGGGAAAGCGAGAGGAAAAAGGAGGAGGAAGAAGAAAAAGAGAAGGGGAAGGGAAAGGAAGGUAAGAAGGAUACCACUCGGCAUUGUUUGCCUGGAUCCAGUCCUGCCACAAGCCAAUACCACCACCACCCUUUUUUUUUUAAAUCAAUUUUAUGACCCUGAGGCAAUAAUUCUUGCCCUCCUCCCAUGCAUACUUUUCACUACACUGCUCUUAACUAGCUGAAACUGAGAACAUUUAGAUAAUAAUCAGAGAAUUUGAGGUCAAUUUAGUAGCACAGCAACCACAUACAUAAAUAAUUGCAAAAAAAAAAGUGAUGAAGCAUAAAUACAAUACACUGUCAUGGUACAAAAAAGAAAGAUCAACUCAGCUUAGACAGUUUAUAGUUCAUCAGCCAGAGGUUGGCUUAUCUUUUUUUUAAGGGACGUAGCCUAUAACUACAUCACAGAAAAAACAACAUGUAGGUGUCCUCUUACUCAAGAAAGGCCUUGUGACACUGGAGAUAAGUUUGGAAGAAUAUGGAUCUGUCAACCUGAGGAAUUGGGAAAGAUGCAAAUAUGGAUCUGUUGACCUGAGGAAUUGGGAAAGAUGCAAAUAGAUAAAAACAGAACUAUGGUCCAACAGAUGUGGUAUAUUUGGUAUGGUAGAUUAGAUCCAUCCACAAAUUCUUUGCUGCCCCUCCUAGUAAGAGGCAUGGCCUAAUUCCUCUCCCCUUGAAAAUACACUGACAUUUAGUGACAUUUUAUUAAAUCUAUACCCUUUUGUACCCA
rnacentral:lncRNA from 1 species